rnacentral:rRNA from 1 species
UGGGGAAUUUUGGACAAUGGGCGAAAGCCUGAUCCAGCAAUGCCGCGUGUGUGAAGAAGGCCUUCGGGUUGUAAAGCACUUUUGUCCGGAAAGAAAUCCUUGGCUCUAAUACAGUCGGGGGAUGACGGUACCGGAAGAAUAAGCACCGGCUAACUACGUGCCAGCAGCCGCGGUAAUACGUAGGGUGCAAGCGUUAAUCGGAAUUACUGGGCGUAAAGCGUGCGCAGGCGGUUUGCUAAGACCGAUGUGAAAUCCCCGGGCUCAACCUGGGAACUGCAUUGGUGACUGGCAGGCUAGAGUAUGGCAGAGGGGGGUAGAAUUCCACGUGUAGCAGUGAAAUGCGUAGAGAUGUGGAGGAAUACCGAUGGCGAAGGCAGCCCCCUGGGCCAAUACUGACGCUCAUGCACGAAAGCGUGGGGGGCAAACAGGAUUAGAUACCCUGGUAGUCCACGCCCUAAACGAUGUCAACUAGUUGUUGGGGAUUCAUUUCCUUAGUAACGUAGCUAACGCGUGAAGUUGACCGCCUGGGGAGUACGGUCGCAAGAUUAAAACUUAAAGGAAUUGACGGGGUCAUAGCUGUUUCCU